GACGAACGCUGGCGGCGUGCCUAAUACAUGCGAGUAGAACGCUGAAGAGAGGAGCUUGCUCUUCUUGGAUGAGUUGCGAACGGGUGAGUAACGCGUAGGUAACCUGCCUUGUAGCGGGGGAUAACUAUUGGAAACGAUAGCUAAUACCGCAUAACAAUGGAUGACACAUGUCAUUUAUUUGAAAGGGGCAAUUGCUCCACUACAAGAUGGACCUGCGUUGUAUUAGCUAGUAGGUGAGGUAAUGGCUCACCUAGGCGACGAUACAUAGCCGACCUGAGAGGGUGAUCGGCCACACUGGGACUGAGACACGGCCCAGACUCCUACGGGAGGCAGCAGUAGGGAAUCUUCGGCAAUGGGGGCAACCCUGACCGAGCAACGCCGCGUGAGUGAAGAAGGUUUUCGGAUCGUAAAGUUCUGUUGUAAGUCAAGAACGGGUGUGAGAGUGGAAAGUUCACACUGUGACGGUAGCUUACCAGAAAGGGACGGCUAACUACGUG
rnacentral:rRNA from 1 species